UUUUUAAUUAAAAACUAGAAUGAAAGGUUAUACAUUCAAAUUUCUUUAUUAUUUUUAAUAUAUAAUUUAUUUUAAAUAUAAAAAUAUAUUUACAUAAAAAAAAGACGACAAGACCCUAUUAAAUUUUACUUAUAGUUUAGCUGGGGAAGCUUUUCAAUUAAAAUUUUUUAAAAAAAAAUAAAAAAAUCUAAAAAAUUUAAAUUUUAAUAAAUUACUAUAGGGAUAACAGCAUUAUAUUUUUUAAAAGUUCAUAUUAAAAAAAAUGAUUGUGACCUCGAUGUUGAAUUAUAUUUCUAUAUUUAAUGCAAUAAUUAUAUAAGUAGAUCUGUUCGAUCUUUAAAAUAUUACAUGAUUUGAGUUCAAACCGGUGUAAACCAGGUUGGUUUCUAUCUUUUUAUUUAUUUUUCUAGUACGAAAGGACAAAAAAAUUUUUAUUUUUAUAAAUUAGCAAAUAAAUGCAUUAGAUUUAGAAUCUAAAUAUAUUUAAUA
rnacentral:rRNA from 1 species